rnacentral:tRNA from 1 species
GGUGGUAUAGCUCAGUGGUAGAGUGCUUGUCUAGCAAGCACAAGGUCCUAGGUUCAAUCCCCAGUAUCUCCA